AGACCCGAAACCCGGUGAUCUAGCCAUGGGCAGGUUGAAGGUUGGGUAACACUAACUGGAGGACCGAACCGACUAAUGUUGAAAAAUUAGCGGAUGACCUGUGGCUGGGGGUGAAAGGCCAAUCAAACCGGGAGAUAGCUGGUUCUCCCCGAAAGCUAUUUAGGUAGCGCCUCGUGAAUUCAUCUCCGGGGGUAGAGCACUGUUUCGGCUAGGGGGCCAUCCCGGCUUACCAACCCGAUGCAAACUGCGAAUACCGGAGAAUGUUAUCACGGGAGACACACGGCGGGUGCUAACGUCCGUCGUGAAGAGGGAAACAACCCAGACCGCCAGCUAAGGUCCCAAAGUCAUGGUUAAGUGGGAAACGAUGUGGGAAGGCCCAGACAGCCAGGAUGUUGGCUUAGAAGCAGCCAUCAUUUAAAGAAAGCGUAAUAGCUCACUGGUCGAGUCGGCCUGCGCGGAAGAUGUAACGGGGCUAAACCAUGCACCGAAGCUGCGGCAGCGAACGUAUCACCCAAGACAACUUUACGGAGUUGACGAUUGACGGAGCGAAGCGACGUCAAAGCGUUCAUUAAAGUCGAGUUGGCUUAGGGAUACGUUCGUUGGGUAGGGGAGCGUUCUGUAAGCCUGUGAAGGUGUGUCGUGAGGCAUGCUGGAGGUAUCAGAAGUGCGAAUGCUGACAUAAGUAACGAUAAAGCGGGUGAAAAGCCCGCUCGCCGGAAGACCAAGGGUUCCUGUCCAACGUUAAUCGGGGCAGGGUGAGUCGACCCCUAAGGCGAGGCCGAAAGGCGUAGUCGAUGGGAAACGGGUUAAUAUUCCCGUACUUGGUGUUACUGCGAAGGGGGGACGGAGAAGGCUAUGUUGGCCGGGCGACGGUUGUCCCGGUUUAAGCGUGUAG
rnacentral:rRNA from 2 species